rnacentral:rRNA from 1 species
AAAUUGAAGAGUUUGAUCAUGGCUCAGAUUGAACGCUGGCGGCAGGCCUAACACAUGCAAGUCGAGCGGUAGCACAGAGAGCUUGCUCUCGGGUGACGAGCGGCGGACGGGUGAGUAAUGUCUGGGAAACUGCCUGAUGGAGGGGGAUAACUACUGGAAACGGUAGCUAAUACCGCAUAAUGUCGCAAGACCAAAGUGGGGGACCUUCGGGCCUCAUGCCAUCAGAUGUGCCCAGAUGGGAUUAGCUAGUAGGUGGGGUAAUGGCUCACCUAGGCGACGAUCCCUAGCUGGUCUGAGAGGAUGACCAGCCACACUGGAACUGAGACACGGUCCAGACUCCUACGGGAGGCAGCAGUGGGGAAUAUUGCACAAUGGGCGCAAGCCUGAUGCAGCCAUGCCGCGUGUGUGAAGAAGGCCUUCGGGUUGUAAAGCACUUUCAGCGGGGAGGAAGGCGAUAAGGUUAAUAACCUUGGCGAUUGACGUUACCCGCAGAAGAAGCACCGGCUAACUCCGUGCCAGCAGCCGCGGUAAUACGGAGGGUGCAAGCGUU